AUAGCAGCUCGGAGCGUAGGCCCGCAGCUGCAGAGCCAGCAGCCAUGACCCGGUGAGACCACGGCGCUGGGUGCGGGCAGCCCGGCAGGGACCUCUAGGGAAGGGAAGUCCAGAGGAAAAAGGAUAUCAAAGUCCAGCUGUCCAGUGUCAUCACAUUCAGAUUCUGCCAUGACCUAAAUAAAAAGACUGCAGGUGGCUGCUCUCUCUCCGUCACCUCUUGACUUUUGGACUGUGCUGCUGCAGAUGAUUUUCAGACACUCCUAUGCUGGGACAUCAGACAAUGGAAAGCUGCCCAGAUACAACUUGUGUCCUACUGGGAGGAGAAGAAAUGUCCAUCUUCAUGUUCAGCUUCUCUGUGCAUCUAUUUCAUUCUGGCCAACAGAAAUGGAAAAGAAAUAAACAAAAGAAGUACACUUCCAGUAAAAACUCCUACUU